UACGGAGGAUCCAAGCGUUAUCCGGAUUUAUUGGGGUUUAAAGGGUGCGUAGGCGGCUUAUUAAGUCAGAGGUGAAAAGACGGUGGCUCAACCAUCGCAGUGCCUUUGAUACUGAUGAGCUUGAAUAGACCUGAGGUAGGCGGAAAUGUGACAAGUAGCGGGUGAAAUGCAUAGAUAUGUCACAGAACACCAAUUGCGAAGGCAGCUUACUAAAGUCUUAUUGACGCUGAGGCACGAAAGCGUGGGGAUCAAACAGG
rnacentral:rRNA from 1 species